rnacentral:misc_RNA from 1 species
UGAAACCAGAAAAAGACUGUCCUCUCCCAGCAUAGAUAAAUGGUGUAGAUACAAAAGUAAUAAUGAUGAACGAAAAAGAUAAAAAUGAAAACAAAAAUGCAGGCUUAUACAAAAAUGUAAUGUGAGAAGUCAAUUUCAUUUCCCACGAGACUUGCUUUCUUUAACAGGAACAAGAGUUACUUUUUUGCCAGAAUUGAUAGUUCUAGUCUCUGCUUGUCUUAGCACUGAUAUUGCAACUUGAUGUUGAUUUUCAUUUGCCUGGUCAUCUGUAAAUGGUUUCACCUCAAAUGCCCCCCUAGCGAAACCUCUAGCAACCUUUAAAAAAAUCCAGACUUUGAGAGAACUACUCAAGAUUGCAAGUCUUGUCCUUUUCCCAGUAGUUAAGUAGUUGCACAUGUGAUGAUCAACCCUCAAAACAAAUCUUGGCCAGGUCUUGGGGUUUUCAGGGUCUGCCUUCUGGUCCAUCAAUGCAAGCAAUCGGCAAAUUUCUUGUUCAAUCUUUGAAAAGGAGGUCUCUAAAGCUUCAACUCUCCCAGUAGCGUGACAGCAAGUGCAAGGUUCACUAAUCUUAAAAGCGACACUAGGUCUAACCCUUUUUCUAGUUAUUUCCAUCAGUCCAUGCUUUGACAAUUC